rnacentral:rRNA from 1 species
CGGCCCCGCAAGUCCAUCGGGAAAUCCAACCGCCCAACGGUUGGGCGUCCGGUGGAAACUGCGUGGCUUGGGACCGGAAGGCUCGAGGGGUACGUCCGGGGUAGGAGUGAAAUCCCGUAAUCCUGGACGGACCACCGAUGGCGAAAGCACCUCGAGAGAACGGAUCCGACGGUGAGGGACGAAAGCUGGGGUCUCGAACCGGAUUAGAUACCCGGGUAGUCCCAGCCGUAAACGAUGCCAGUUAGGUGUGGCGCAGGCUACGAGCCUGCGCUGUGCCGUAGGGAAGCCGUGAAACUGGCCGCCUGGGAA